UACGAAGGGGGCUAGCGUUGCUCGGAAUCACUGGGCGUAAAGCGCACGUAGGCGGCUUUCUAAGUCAGGGGUGAAAUCCUGGAGCUCAACUCCAGAACUGCCUUUGAUACUGGAGAGCUUGAGUCCGGGAGAGGUGAGUGGAACUCCGAGUGUAGAGGUGAAAUUCGUAGAUAUUCGGAAGACCACCAGUGGCGAAGGCGGCUCACUGGCCCGGUACUGACGCUGAGGUGCGAAAGCGUGGGGAGCAAACAGG
rnacentral:rRNA from 1 species